ACUUUUCUUUUAGAAGAACGUCGCGCCCCGUGGGUUGUGGGCUUGAGCCCCAAGAUCGUGGACUGCUUUGUUUGUUUGGGAACCAAUGGAGACGGUUGGUUUUUUUCCUGGCCGGCUGCCCGCCGGUACCCCCAAGGUAUCGAGCCGCCCUUUGAAUGCGUUUCGGCUUGUUGCAAGCCCGGCCCUUUUAUCCUGGAGGUGCGGGCCGAGGGCUGUUCCCGGGGGUGGUUGGGUGUUGGUUGACGGUUUUUUCGAACUGGGUUAAUACCGGUCGGCGACGCUAUUGCUUUGGGUACUUUCAGGACCCGUCUUGAAACACGGACCAAGGAGUCUAACAUGUGCGCGAGUCAUUGGGACGUUGAAACCUAAAGGCGCAUUGAAAGAAAAGAUCAACCUAGCGUUGAUUGAGGGAGGAUGGGCGACGUUUAGAUGUCGCUUCGCACUCCCGGGGUGUCUCUUAAAGUCAUCGCGACUUGAGGCGCACCCAGAGCGUACACGUUGGGACCCGAAAGAUGGUGAACUAUGCCUGGUCAGGAUG
rnacentral:rRNA from 1 species